AGAAUCAACGCUGGCGGCGUGCCUCAGACAUGCAAGUCGAACGCGAAAGAGGGCUUCGGCCUUCGAGUAGAGUGGCGCACGGGUGAGUAAGACGUAGGUAAUUUACCUUUGGGUGUGGAAUAGCGGCUGGAAACGGCCAUUAAUACCGCAUAACGCAGCGGCAUCUUUGGAUGACAGUUGUUAAAGCGGGGGCGGGAGCAAUCCCUCCUCGCGCCAGAAGAGAAGCCUACGGCGGAUUAGCUAGUUGGUGAGGUAAUGGCUCACCAAGGCCGUGAUCCGUA
rnacentral:rRNA from 1 species